CCCCGGAAGGGGAGACCAUGUGGGUCAGCUCCCUAGGGGUUUGUGGAAUGAAUGAGCAAAGAGGGAGGUCAAGACCGGAGAGAGAUGAAGUCCCACUCUCCCGUCCUGGCCCUGGAGACAGAAAUGCUGUGCAACAGGAUGUGGGGUAUAGGCAGGCUGCCCAGACAUGGACCGGGCAGGACCCGGAUGGUGGGGCUGUAGGUGCCAGGCAGGUGUGUGGGGUGGGGGCCCAGGUGGGGGCCCACCCGGAGACCUGAGCAAAGGCCUGAGCGCAGCAGGUACUGGGGCAGCAACCAGAGGGCAAAGGUCCCCAGGCAGGGAGGGAGGGACACUGCCGGAAGGAGGGAGCUGCCCGAGGCCCCUCCCAGCACAGCCAGAGCCCUGGAAGAGCUGCUGGGGGGGACAGGGGCCAAGAGGCACAGGCCCUUCAGUUGUCCAGCUGCAGUGCUGUGAGGGGCUCCCCUGGGACCCCUGCCAAUGUGCAGAGGAGGGUGGGAAGGCGAGUGGGGGCCUGCGCGGCCCCACUGCCUGGGGCGGGCACUCACCGGCAGGAUGGAGAAGCGCAUGAAGAGGCAGGUGAACUCCAGGGCGACCAGUGUGUAGGGUGCAGGGAGGUUGGAGGAGCAGGUCAAGGCUGGGCAGGGGCUCCACACCUGGCAGCUGCAGUUCAGGGGUCAUCCUGGCCAGAGCAAGCUCAGGUUCCGUGUGGGCGGGGAGCUUCCUGGUCCCGAGGGAGCAUGGGAGACUGCUUUUCAGGCUGGAUAAGGGAAGAGGACACCCAGAAGCCCAGAACCCCUGGGUCUGAUUUUCCUUGUCCAGAGUAAGUAGCUCAGACUGUGGGCCAGUGUAACUGAAGCACUCAGCCUCUCAGCAAACGUUCUGUGCUUCCCAGGACCCACUCCCACCACCAGGCUUACAGAGAAAGUGCUGGCCAUUCUGAGGGCCAGGAGCCCCUGGACAGGACAGAGAUCCCAGGGAAAUGUCUGUUGGAUGGACAGGUGGACAUGCACGAGGACACACGUCAGAUGCUCCUAGUCCAGGCCCUGACUGGACAUUCGAGGGGGAGCUGUGCACGAUCACACUGCCAGCAGUGGCUGCCGUGGCAAGGCUCAGAUUCGCUUGAUUUACUGUUUUCUGUGAAUGAGAAUCCAGAGCAUCUGGGGAAGGCGCUCAGCAGGACUCAACUGUGAAACCCCCAGCAGCCUGUGCUGGGGUCUGUGCUCACAGCGGAGCACAGGGGUUCUGCGUGGGGCUCUGCAGUCAGCCCCAUGGGGCUGGCACUCUUUCUAGGCCUUGGCCAGGGGCUAUCCUCUCAAGCCCGUUCCCCCAUCUGUGAAAAAGGGCCAACACCCAUCUCUGCCUCCUAGGAGGAUUAAAUUAGAUAAUUCACACAUAAAGUGCAUGGCACAGGACCACGUGGCACAGAGAGGGUAUGCCAUGUGCCACCAACAGUAACUGGGUGCUGACCAGCAUUCAGCUGUGGCUGGACGGGGAACCUGCUGAGCGCCAGGCAUGUGCAGCUGGGUGGAGUGGGCUGGGUGUCAGAUGAAGACAGACCCACGGGAGUCAUGGUGACCUGCAG